CAGUAGCCGCGGGAAUACGAAGGGGGCUAGCGUUGCUCGGAAUUACUGGGCGUAAAGGGAGCGUAGGCGGAUCGUUAAGUUGGGGGUGAAAGCCCGGGGCUCAACCUCGGAAUUGCCUUCAAUACUGGCGAUCUUGAGUAUGGAAGAGGUAUGUGGAACUCCGAGUGUAGAGGUGAAAUUCGUAGAUAUUCGGAAGAACACCAGUGGCGAAGGCGACAUACCGGUCCAUUACUGACGCUGAGGCUCGAAAGCGUGGGGAGCAAACAGGAUUAGAGACCCGCGUAGUCCCUGUCUCUUAUAC
rnacentral:rRNA from 1 species